UACGAAGGGUGCAAGCGUUACUCGGAAUUACUGGGCGUAAAGGGUGUGUAGGUGGCGCGCUAAGUCGGGUGUGAAAUUUCGGAGCUUAACUCCGAAACUGCAUUCGAUACUGGCGUGCUUGAGGACUGGAGAGGAGACUGGAAUUCAUGGUGUAGCAGUGAAAUGCGUAGAGAUCAUGAGGAAGACCAGUGGCGAAGGCGGGUCUCUGGACAGUUCCUGACACUGAGACACGAAGGCCAGGGGAGCAAACGGG
rnacentral:rRNA from 1 species